rnacentral:rRNA from 1 species
UACGUAGGGGGCAAGCGUUGUCCGGAAUCAUUGGGCGUAAAGAGCGUGUAGGCGGUCCGGUAAGUCCGCUGUGAAAGUCCAGGGCUCAACCCUGGAAUGCCGGUGGAUACUGCCGGGCUAGAGUCCGGAAGAGGCGAGUGGAAUUCCUGGUGUAGCGGUGAAAUGCGCAGAUAUCAGGAGGAACACCGAUGGCGAAGGCAGCUCGCUGGGACGGUACUGACGCUGAGAAGCGAAAGCAUGGGGAGCGAACAGG